GAUGAAGAACGUAGCGAAAUGCGAUACGUAGUGUGAAUUGCAGAAUUCAGUGAAUCAUCGAAUCUUUGAACGCACAUUGCACCUCUCGGUAUUCCGGGAGGUAUGCCUGUUCGAGCGUCAUUUGUACCCUCAAGCUCUGCUUGGUGUUGGGUGUUUGUUCCGCCUCUGUGUGUGAACUCGCCUCAAAACAAUUGGCAGCCGGCGUACUUGUUUCGGAGCGCAGCACAUUUUGCGAUCCAGAUCAACGUACAGCGGCAUCCAAGAAGCCUUAUUUAACGCUCUUGACCUCGGAUCAGGUAGGGAUACCCGCUGAACUUAAGCAUAUCAAUAAGCGAAAGGA
rnacentral:misc_RNA from 1 species